rnacentral:rRNA from 1 species
CGAACGCUGGCGGCGUGCUUAACACAUGCAAGUCGAACGGAAAGGCCCUGCUUUUGUGGGGUGCUCGAGUGGCGAACGGGUGAGUAACACGUGAGUAACCUGCCCUUGACUUUGGGAUAACUUCAGGAAACUGGGGCUAAUACCGGAUAGGAGCUCCUGCUGCAUGGUGGGGGUUGGAAAGUUUCGGCGGUUGGGGAUGGACUCGCGGCUUAUCAGCUUGUUGGUGGGGUAGUGGCUUACCAAGGCUUUGACGGGUGGCCGGCCUGAGAGGGUGACCGGCCACAUUGGGACUGAGAUACGGCCCAGACUCCUACGGGAGGCAGCAGUGGGGAAUAUUGCACAAUGGGCGGAAGCCUGAUGCAGCAACGCCGCGUGCGGGAUGACGGCCUUCGGGUUGUAAACCGCUUUCGCCUGUGACGAAGCGUGAGUGACGGUAAUGGGUAAAGAAGCACCGGCUAACUACGUG